rnacentral:rRNA from 1 species
GCAAAGGUAGCAUAGUCAUUAGUUCUUUAAUUGUGAUCUGGUAUGAAUGGCUUGACGAGGCAUGGGCUGUCUUAAUUUUGAAUUGUUUAUUGAAUUUGGUCUUUGAGUUAAAAUUCUUAGAUGUUUUUAUGGGACGAGAAGACCCUAUAGAGUUUGACAUUUGCUAUGGUCCUCUUUCUGUUUGUGAGGGUUCACUGGGCCAUUUAAUAUGUUUUGUUGGGGUGAUGGGAGGGAUUAAUUUAACCCCUCCUUUUGUUAUUAUAUUUAUUUAUAUUUACUUGAUCCAUUUAUUUUGAUUGUAAGAUUAAAUUACCUUAGGGAUAACAGCGUUAUCUUCCUUGAGAGUUCUUAUCGGCAGGGGGGUUUGCG